GAUGAACGCUGGCGGCGUGCUUAACACAUGCAAGUCGAACGGUGAAGGCGGAGAUUGCUCUGCUGGAUCAGUGGCGAACGGGUGAGUAACACGUGAGCAAUCUGCCCCUGACUCUGGGAUAAGCGCUGGAAACGGCGUCUAAUACUGGAUACGAGCUGCGAAGGCAUCUUCAGCAGCUGGAAAGAAUUUCGGUCAGGGAUGAGCUCGCGGCCUAUCAGCUUGUUGGUGAGGUAAUGGCUCACCAAGGCGUCGACGGGUAGCCGGCCUGAGAGGGUGACCGGCCACACUGGGACUGAGACACGGCCCAGACUCCUACGGGAGGCAGCAGUGGGGAAUAUUGCACAAUGGGCGAAAGCCUGAUGCAGCAACGCCGCGUGAGGGACGACGGCCUUCGGGUUGUAAACCUCUUUUAGCAGGGAAGAAGCGAAAGUGACGGUACCUGCAGAAAAAGCGCCGGCUAACUACGUG
rnacentral:rRNA from 1 species